rnacentral:rRNA from 1 species
GUGCCAGCAGCCGCGGUAAUACGUAGGUUGCGAGCGUUAUUCGGAUUUACUGGGCGUAAAGCGCACCGAGGUGGCUUCUUAAGUUGGAUGUAAAAUCUCCCGGCUUAACUGGGAGGCGCCAUUCAAUACUGAGGAGCUUGAGGUCAGCAGGGGAAAGUGGAAUUCCCGGUGUAGUGGUGGAAUGCGUAGAGAUCGGGAGGAACACCAGUGGCGAAAGCGACUUUCUGGGCUGCACCUGACACUCUAGUGCGAAAGCGUGGGGAGCAAACAGGAUUAGAAACCCGCGUAGUCC